GCCUUCGUGGUGUGACGGUUAUCAUACUCGGCGCAUAUUCGAGAGGUCCAGGUUCGAGUCCCGGCGAGGUCG
rnacentral:tRNA from 1 species